GUUGAAUGCUGUCAACUUAAUGUGACAGUCCCCUGAAGGGAAUAAUACUACUGUUGGUUAGACCUAGGAAGCUGCAUCGCUUCCUGUCGGCCUUGACAUAUUUCCUGUGUCCUUAUGUUUUCAAGGGUGGAGGUGCUUGUCUCCCCCUUGUAAACGUAAGGACACAGGAAAUGUGUCAAGGCCGACAGGAAGCGGUGCAGCUUCCUAGGUCUAACCAACAGUAGUAUUAUUCCCUU
rnacentral:SRP_RNA from 1 species